CAACUUUUAAUGGAAGGUUUGUAACAACGUGUUUUUUUUUAAAAAAAAAACACCAACAUGAACCUUAUCCCCCUGCACCACAAUACCUCUUUUAUUUUUUUUCUCUUUCUCUUUCUCUUUCUCUUUCUUUUUCUCUUUCUCUUUCUAAAUCUUUCCCUUCUCUCUUAAUUUUCCCCUCCCAAUCUUCAUCUAUUUUAGAAUUUGAUCGGAUCACGUUGUAGCUGGCGAGUUAAAGACCAUUUCUACCCGAUCAGAUUUUCAAACAGAGUAAGUUCAUUUUUACUCUAAAUAUCCUUUGUUCUCUGUUUUUUCUUAGGAUUUAGUCAUCAAUCUUGGUGGGGUCAGUUGAGAAGUUUAACCCUCUCAACUUAUUCUACUAUAUACUAAAUUUUGUUCUGUUUGGAUAAUUUGCAUUAGGCCCGUAAAUCUUGAAGCUUAUCCAAACGGUGGGGAAUAAAAUUCUAAAAGUUGCUUGAAAAGCAAGCAAUUGAGGUAAGGGAAGCUAAAUUUAAUUUUUUAUAGCACCCUAGGAUAGAAGAUCUGAAUGCGGAAGGGACGUGGUCCCAAUAUUGAUUUUCUCGUGCAGGGGUGUUAUUUGUUUAUAUAUUAUUUAAACUUUAUAAAUAUUAUAUUUUGAUAGCUUGAGAGUUAAAUAUUGUUUUUGACGUUGAAAAAGUUCUGGAAUGAUAUGAAUUUUUAAAUGUUAUGUGAUUGAAUGAUAUGUAUUAUAUGCGGAUGAUGUAAAUUGUAUGAAAGUGAUGUCAUACAUUUGGGAUAAUGUAUGAGUUGUUGUUUGAUGGUACGUUAAGUAUGAAAAGCCUAUGUUUAACGGAGAUCCUCUGGCUUCACUAAUGAUCUAAGUCAUGUAGACUAAGAUAUUAGGUGGUGAGAAGCUGAGAGGGAGUUCAUACACACCGGGUCCCACUGUAGACACUCGGUAUUGGAUGUUUGAACUUACCCUGAUCCUUUCUAUUAGAUUCGCUGGUAAUCUUUGGGUCAGGUGUUAGUCUCUGGUAGGGACAUACUUAAUGAGUCUUCCGGAAGAUGAAGUGGGAUUGAAAUGAAAUCCAAUGAUUGUGAUUGAAAAUAGAUCCAUGUGUGGUCUAUAUGAAUGAUGAAAUUGAUAUUGAAAUUUUACAUGACAACAUUUAAAGUAAUGUUUAUAAAUGAUUUGUUUGGUUGGUUCUUUUUGUAAGAAUUAGAUAUGAUAUGCAAUUUCUUUUCACUAGCUUACCCUUGCUUUUCUUGCUGUGUUUAAACUGCGAUGACUGUACUAUGUACACGAGCAGAUGAUCUUACAGGUAUCUGAGGAUCAAAAGAGUUUUAAGGCGUUGAUUUUGAAACUUAUAUUGUAAAUAUUUGUAUUUCUAUAUGUCCUAAUCAUGUAUUAAGAAUGUUUUGAAAAACUUUAUGCUUGUAUAGAAAUAAGUAGAAUCUGUAUUGUAAUAGUUAGAUGUAUUUUUCCGGGGUGUUACAAGGUUGGUUGAACCGUAUUCAUGGUUGACGCAAACUCAGUGCAAAAAUAAAACCAGAU
rnacentral:lncRNA from 1 species